rnacentral:lncRNA from 1 species
CUUCUCCCUGCAACUGCUUCUCCUGUUUUUCUGCAUUCAUUUUACUCUUGGUCGUAUCUUUCAGCAGCAACUCAUGAGAACAGCACUUGGGAUGUAUUUUUUUCAUCUAUCAGGGAUAAUGGACCAUGCCUUUUUCUAGGAGCACAUUAUUUGGCCACUGGCAGAUCUUUAUAUUUGCCACAAGAUCCCCAGUAGCUGCAUGUUGCCCCCCACCCUCCCUCCUCAGGACACUGCAGACAAUAAUAGGCAUAAGCCCAGAAGGCCAACCAUAUCCUAGUCUACAUCAAAAGAGGCAUGGCCAGG